rnacentral:rRNA from 1 species
GACCAUGGCUCAGGAUGAACGCUAGCUACAGGCUUAACACAUGCAAGUCGAGGGGCAGCAUGGUCUUAGCUUGCUAAGGCUGAUGGCGACCGGCGCACGGGUGAGUAACACGUAUCCAACCUGCCGUCUACUCUUGGCCAGCCUUCUGAAAGGAAGAUUAAUCCAGGAUGGCAUCAUGAGUUCACAUGUCCGCAUGAUUAAAGGUAUUUUCCGGUAGACGAUGGGG